CCUUGUCUCAGGAGUAGGCAGCCUGGAGCUUGCAGGACCUCAUACUUGAAUCUAGACCUGGAGGCUUUGUGAUGCUACAUGGUAUGGAAACAUUAUGAACUGGUUCCUGUCCCAGGUAUUCGUAAUCAAAUAUUAGAAUGAGGUGUAUCUUGGAUGGUUUCCAUUAGGCAGAAGCAAAGCUCACCAUGUUAGAGUGUGGGAGGAGUGUAAGAAAAGGAAGAAACAAAAGACAUUUUUCACACCCCCUGGAAAGCUCUCAAAGAACGGAACUAUUAAUGCACUGGGAGGAAAGUAUGAAGAAAGUGCACACAGCUGCUAUCAAGUAAAUUGUGCAGGACUGAUCAAAUGACAAAAAUGUUGGAAUACGCUUCAGGGACUAUAACUGCAAUGCCAAAGGAAAUCUGGUAGAAGUUCCAUAGGCAAGCAGGAUAUUUUUUUCUAGUUGAUGAAAAACUGUUCUGCUGAUGUAUUCUCAGUCCUAAAAUGACGUGCAAGCUCUCCCUGCUGCUGAAUCCUCCCCUAUGCAAGCUCUUACUCCAAUGUAGAAGGGCUUACAACAUUCAAGAAAAUGAAAGUAGCGCCAAUAUUAGGCAUAUUCUGGGCUCACAAUUCUGGUAUCCAUUUACAUGUGGAAUUUCCAAAUUGUGGGAAUUCAGGAAGCUCAAGUUCUGAUGUACUGUCACAAAGUGCUUUGUCUUGUUCAGGAGGCAGCGCUUCCACACACCUACUAUGCUAUGGAGGGGCUGAAGGAAGGGUGGUUUAUCUGUUGACAUGUAGGCAGCUGGCACUCAGAAAUGUGAAGAGCCUCUUGGGGUGGAGCUGGAAUUAGCAGCUGUGUGCAGGUGGUGACAGUUCUGCAGAUGUGCCCUGGGAGGGAAGACAUGUUUCUGAAGUAAUCGUACCUUCUGCAGUGUUAUGCUUAGCUUCCAGUGCUUUUCUGAUAGCCAUUCCUCUGGUGCUGAGACCCAUAGGAAGAAUAGGCAAGGAUUUUUGUUAGAGAUGCAAGCUUUCACUUGCUGAACCACCUGAACUGAAAAUCCAGAAGUCAGGAUGCAGUGGAUGCAAAAUUAAAUAAAAGAAAUCCUGUUUAAACAUAAUUGAAAGCAAACAACCAAAAUAUCGUGCUACUUUUAUGGUGAAAGUGCUCAAGCAGUCGAGCGGGUUGUUCAGAGAGGUUGUAGAGUCUCCAUCUUUGGAGACUUGAGGUUUCAGAUAUUCAGGUUAACAGAAGCAUAUCCUUGAUUUAAAGGCUCCCUUUCUGGUGAUGGCUUCUAUAUAAUGAGUUUACAGGAAAUGGAAAAGCCCCAUUAAUUCCAAAGUUCUUGGAGUGAGAUCCUGAAUGCCUGCUUUGACACCUGAAGCAGGAUUCCCAUGCUAUCUAGGUGUCUAGAUCAAAGACAGCAAGCUACAGUAUGCACUCAGUGGCUGCAUAAAGAUUGAUGUGUAAAACUAAGCUAGUUCCUUCUUGUUUGUCCCCAAAGUUCCUUGCAUGCAAAGCUGGAUGUGCAAGCAUGCACACAGGUAGCCCAUCCUGGAGAGCUGGGUCCCUUGUGACAACCUGGGUGCCUUUAGGACCUAAAGGUGAGGUCGUGUUUGUGGCUGGAAGCUCAGGAGGGGCUGAUUCCCCUCAAUAUGCUUGGAGCACUGCUACUGGCACACACACUGAACGUGCAGCACACUGCCUGUGCUUCUCUGAUGCAUAAGGGUGCAAAAGGAAGCGAUGCUCACCUCUUGCGUAGUGGCUUGGUAACUACCUGUGCCUUCUCUGUAGGAGGUGAUAGCUCUGUGUUCAGCUAUUUUCAGUCUGUCUUCCACUUUCCAGCAGCAUCUCUUGUUCACAAGCUGGGGAACUGUCCAGGCUGGAUCUGCACUCUGGGCUAGUUCUGCAGCUUGGAGUAGAAAUCAUGAGAUCAGCUGAUGGCUAAGCCAAAGCAACCAUCAUAUUGGUCAUAACAAUAGGAGCUGUAUGUAUAUUCUGUAUGGAUUAUUAACACUGGAGUAUAGAUUUUGUGGAGUAAGCAUACUCAGUGUUUGUAAACUGCUAUCAGCCUUCAGCGCUGUGCUGGAAGGACACCUAUCUGAUGUUAGCCUGAUACAGGACUGAGGCUUCCAGGCAGAAUUGCAAUCAAGUCAGCAGUUCUGUGUGUUUUCAGGGGGGACUUGAACCUAUUGGGUGAUGUGGGAGGGGGUUACCCUUCCCUUCUUUCCCAACUGCAGUAACCAGUGAUAAGACAGUUAAUGACAGUACAAUGAUAAUCCCUUUGGCAUAUGGAUAGGCUGAAUUCAGUAUUUCUGUACCUCGCAUUCCUUUUUAUUUGUAACAACAACAAAAAAUACCUAAGAAUUGUUCUUAGAUGUUUUUGUAAUAGCUGACAUUCUUCAAGGAAGAUUAAUAAAGUUGUGUCUAUUGAAAGCAUGCCUUUUCUAGGCACAGCUUAAGGCUUCUCCAUUUAUAUUCAUGAAAAGAGUCUAAUUCAAGGUGGUCUCUAAUAACAACCCUUGCUGCACUUCGGGGCUGACUUGUAAGUUCAGUACUGCAGCAAUAAAUGCACAUAGAUAUCAGGUCUGGUUGGGAUUUUAGGUGAGAGAAAGAGGGCAGUUAUCUCUUGGAAGGCAAGAAACUCAGCGAUUUAAAAGGCAAAUAACUACAAAAUUGCAUAAAACUAAGCUUGUUGUGUAAGUGGUACAAAGUCAGAUCUGCUGUUCAUUCACUAAUACCAGAAGCACUGAGCUUAUGUGAGGAUAUAGCUUAUA